AGAGUUUGAUCCUGGCUCAGACUGAACGCUGGCGGCAGGCCUAACACAUGCAAGUCGAGCGCGAAAAGCCUUCGGGCUGAGUAGAGCGGCGGACGGGUGAGUAACGCGUAGGAAUCUACCUGGUAGUGGGGGACAACUUGGGGAAACUCAAGCUAAUACCGCAUACGCCCUAAGGGGGAAAGCGGGGGACCUUCGGGCCUCGCGCUAUCGGAUGAGCCUGCGUAGGAUUAGCUAGUUGGUGGGGUAAAGGCCCACCAAGGCGACGAUCCUUAGCUGGUCUGAGAGGAUGAUCAGCCACGCUGGAACUGAGACACGGUCCAGACUCCUACGGGAGGCAGCAGUGGGGAAUAUUGCGCAAUGGGCGAAAGCCUGACGCAGCCAUGCCGCGUGUGUGAAGAAGGCCUUAGGGUUGUAAAGCACUUUCAAUUGGGAAGAAAAGUUUGUCGUUAAUAGCGGCAAGCUCUGACAUUACCUUUAGAAGAAGCACCGGCUAACUCCGUGCCAGCAGCCGCGGUAAUACGGAGGGUGCGAGCGUUAAUCGGAAUUACUGGGCGUAAAGCGCGCGUAGGCGGUUUGUUAAGUCAGCUGUGAAAGCCCCGGGCUCAACCUGGGAACUGCAGUUGAUACUGGCCGACUAGAGUACGAGAGAGGGAGGUAGAAUUCCAUGUGUAGCGGUGAAAUGCGUAGAUAUAUGGAGGAAUACCAGUGGCGAAGGCGGCCUCCUGGCUCGAUACUGACGCUGAGGUGCGAAAGCGUGGGGAUCAAACAGGAUUAGAUACCCUGGUAGUCCACGCCGUAAACGAUGUCUACUAGCCGUUGGGAGACUUGAUUUCUUA
rnacentral:rRNA from 1 species